AUUGAACGCUGGCGGCAGGCCUAACACAUGCAAGUCGAGCGGAUGAAGGGAGCUUGCUCCUGGAUUCAGCGGCGGACGGGUGAGUAAUGCCUAGGAAUCUGCCUGGUAGUGGGGGAUAACGUCCGGAAACGGGCGCUAAUACCGCAUACGUCCUGAGGGAGAAAGUGGGGGAUCUUCGGACCUCACGCUAUCAGAUGAGCCUAGGUCGGAUUAGCUAGUUGGUGGGGUAAAGGCCUACCAAGGCGACGAUCCGUAACUGGUCUGAGAGGAUGAUCAGUCACACUGGAACUGAGACACGGUCCAGACUCCUACGGGAGGCAGCAGGGGGGAAUAUUGGACAAUGGGCGAAAGCCUGAUCCAGCCAUGCCGCGUGUGUGAAGAAGGUCUUCGGAUUGUAAAGCACUUUAAGUUGGGGGGAAGGGCAGUAAGUUAAUACCUUGCUGUUUUGACGUUACCAACAGAAUAAGCACCGGCUAACUUCGU
rnacentral:rRNA from 1 species